rnacentral:rRNA from 1 species
AACGAACGCUGGCGGCAUGCCUAACACAUGCAAGUCGAACGAGAUCUUCGGGUCUAGUGGCGCACGGGUGCGUAACGCGUGGGAAUCUGCCCUUUGGUUCGGAAUAACAGUUGGAAACGACUGCUAAUACCGGAUGAUGACGAAAGUCCAAAGAUUUAUCGCCAGAGGAUGAGCCCGCGUAGGAUUAGCUAGUUGGGGUGGUAAAGGCGCACCAAGGCGACGAUCCUUAGCUGGUCUGAUAGGAUGAUCAGCCACACUGGGACUGAGACACGGCCCAGACUCCUACGGGAGGAAGCAGUGGGGAAUAUUGGACAAUGGGCGAAAGCCUGAUCCAGCAAUGCCGCGUGAGUGAUGAAGGCCUUAGGGUUGUAAAGCUCUUUUACCCGGGAUGAUAAUGACAGUACCGGGAGAAUAAGCUCCGGCUAACUCUGUGCCAGCAGCCGCCGUAA